AGAACGAACGCUGGCGGCAUGCCUAAUACAUGCAAGUCGAACGAACACUUCGGUGUUAGUGGCGCACGGGUGCGUAACGCGUGGGAAUCUGCCCUUGGGUUCGGAAUAACAGUUGGAAACGACUGCUAAUACCGGAUGAUGACGAAAGUCCAAAGAUUUAUCGCCCAGGGAUGAGCCCGCGUAGGAUUAGCUAGUUGGUGAGGUAAAGGCUCACCAAGGCGACGAUCCUUAGCUGGUCUGAGAGGAUGAUCAGCCACACUGGGACUGAGACACGGCCCAAACUCCUACGGGAGGCAGCAGUGGGGAAUCGUUGCGCAAUGGGCGAAAGCCUGACGCAGCCAUGCCGCGUGAAUGAUGAAGUCUUAGGAUUAGUAAAAUUCUUUACGACGGGACGAUAAUGACGGUACCGAGAAGAACGCCCGACUAACUCGUGCCAGCAGCCGAC
rnacentral:rRNA from 1 species